rnacentral:misc_RNA from 1 species
CAAGUGAUCCCGGUUUACCACCGGGAUGUUCAUAACCCUUUGUUGUCCGACUCUGUUGCCUCCGGGGCGACCCCGCCUUCGGGCGGGGGCUCCGGGUGGACACUUCAAACUCUUGCGUAACUUUGCAGUCUGAGUAAAUUUAAUUAAUAAAUUA